rnacentral:rRNA from 1 species
UACAGAGGGUGCGAGCGUUAAUCGGAUUUACUGGGCGUAAAGGGCGCGUAGGCGGUCAGCACAAGUCAGUUGUGAAAUCUCCGGGCUUAACUCGGAAAGGUCAACUGAUACUGUGCGACUAGAGUGUGGAAGGGGCAACUGGAAUUCUUGGUGUAGCGGUGAAAUGCGUAGAUAUCAAGAGGAACACCUGCGGCGAAGGCGGGUUGCUGGGCCGACACUGACGCUGAGGCGCGAAAGCCAGGGGAGCGAACGGG